rnacentral:rRNA from 1 species
UACGUAGGGGGCAAGCGUUGUCCGGAAUUAUUGGGCGUAAAGAGCGCGUAGGCGGUCCGAUAAGUCGGCUGUGAAAGUCAGGGGCUCAACCCUUGAAAGCCGGCCGAUACUGUCGGACUAGAGUCCGGAAGAGGCAAGUGGAAUUCCCGGUGUAGCGGUGAAAUGCGCAGAUAUCGGGAGGAACACCAAUUGCGAAGGCAGCUCGCUGGGACGUCACUGACGCUGAGACGCGAAAGCGUGGGGAGCAAACAGG